UACGGGGGGAGCAAGCGUUGUUCGGAUUUACUGGGCGUAAAGGGCGCGUAGGCGGUCAGCACAAGUCAGUUGUGAAAUCUCCGGGCUUAACUCGGAAAGGUCAACUGAUACUGUGCGACUAGAGUGCGGAAGGGGCAACUGGAAUUCUCGGUGUAGCGGUGAAAUGCGUAGAUAUCGAGAGGAACACCUGCGGCGAAGGCGGGUUGCUGGGCCGACACUGACACUGAUGCGCGAAAGCCAGGGGAGCGAACGGG
rnacentral:rRNA from 1 species